CAAUAGCGUAUAUUAAAGUUGUUGCAGUUAAAAGACUCGUAGUUGGAUUUCUGUUCUCGGGGAUUGGUCCGCCUCACGGUGAGCCACUGGUAUCCUGGGGACAUCCUCUCGAAGGCGGGUGGUGCACUUAAUUGUGUGCUUGCUUGGAUUCGGGACCUUUACUUUGAAAAAAUUAGAGUGUUUCAAAGCAAGGCGUCGGCUUGAAAUACAUUAGCAUGGAAUAAUGGAAUAGGACUUUGGUUCUAUUUUGUUGGUUUCUAGGACCGAAGUAAUGAUUAAUAGGGACAGUUGGGGGCAUUAGUAUUUAAUUGUCAGAGGUGGAAAUUCUUGGAUUUAUGAAAGACUAACUACUGCGAAACGCAUUUGCCAAGGAUGUUUUCUAUUAAUCAAGAACGAAAGUUAGGGGAUCGAAG
rnacentral:rRNA from 1 species